rnacentral:rRNA from 1 species
UACGUAGGGUGCAAGCGUUGUCCGGAAUUAUUGGGCGUAAAGAGCUUGUAGGCGGUUUGUCGCGUCUGCUGUGAAAUUUCGGGGCUCAACCCCGAACUUGCAGUGGGUACGGGCAGACUAGAGUGUGGUAGGGGAGACUGGAAUUCCUGGUGUAGCGGUGAAAUGCGCAGAUAUCAGGAGGAACACCGAUGGCGAAGGCGGCUCUCUGGGACGGUACUGACGCUGAGGCGCGAAAGCGUGGGGAGCAAACGGG